rnacentral:rRNA from 12 species
GUUUGACCUCGGAUCAGGUAGGGAUACCCGCUGAACUUAAGCAUAUC